GGGCAGGAUAUGUGAAGUGCUAGCACCGGCGCUGCCGAUACUAGCACUUCACUUCCUCUUAUACGCGCUACGCACUCAACGAGGAUCCUGCUCUGCGAGGCC
rfam:Methylomonas lenta strain R-45370 contig_45_(1..24680), whole genome shotgun sequence.